GGAUGGGAGUGAGAUCUGGCUGUGACAUCUGUUGCCCCAUUGAUUGCUAGGGUUAAUUCAGCUGAUCUGGCUAGCUAGCUGUAUGUCCACUUCCUCCCUCAUCACUCCAUGUGCAUCCCUCCUGAAGCUGCAUGCUGGGUGGAGGAGGAUGACCACCCCUGAUUGAGGAGGACUGUUUCCUUGGUCAAGGGUGUAGCAGUAGCUGCACUCCCCUGCUAUAACCUCCAAGCAAGCUCUCAAUAUGGAAACACAAACUGACACCCCAUCUAUUUAAAACAUCUGGUAAUUUGAUUUCCAUU
rnacentral:snRNA from 1 species